CAACAAAUGCCCUGCUUCCAGGAAAAGCCUCUAAGCAUCAGGUAACAUCAAAUCGUACCCCAAACCGACACAGGUGGUCAGGUAGAGAAUACCAAGGCGCUUGAGAGAACUCGGGUGAAGGAACUAGGCAAAAUGGUGCCGUAACUUCGGGAGAAGGCACGCUGAUAUGUAGGUGAAGUCCCUCGCGGAUGGAGCUGAAAUCAGUCGAAGAUACCAGCUGGCUGCAACUGUUUAUUAAAAACACAGCACUGUGCAAACACGAAAGUGGACGUAUACGGUGUGACGCCUGCCCGGUGCCGGAAGGUUAAUUGAUGGGGUCAGCGCAAGCGAAGCUCUUGAUCGAAGCCCCGGUAAACGGCGGCCGUAACUAUAACGGUCCUAAGGUAGCGAAAUUCCUUGUCGGGUAAGUUCCGACCUGCACGAAUGGCGUAAUGAUGGCCAGGCUGUCUCCACCCGAGACUCAGUGAAAUUGAACUCGCUGUGAAGAUGCAGUGUACCCGCGGCAAGACGGAAAGACCCCGUGAACCUUUACUAUAGCUUGACACUGAACAUUGAGCCUUGAUGUGUAGGAUAGGUGGGAGGCUUGGAAGUGUAGACGCCAGUCUGCAUGGAGCCGACCUUGAAAUACCACCCUUUAAUGUUUGAUGUUCUAACGUUGACCCGUAAUCCGGGUUGCGGACAGUGUCUGGUGGGUAGUUUGACUGGGGCGGUCUCCUCCUAAAGAGUAACGGAGGAGCACGAAGGUUGGCUAAUCCUGGUCGGACAUCAGGAGGUUAGUGCAAUGGCAUAAGCCAGCUUGACUGCGAGCGUGACGGCGCGAGCAGGUGCGAAAGCAGGUCAUAGUGAUCCGGUGGUUCUGAAUGGAAGGGCCAUCGCUCAACGGAUAAAAGGUACUCCGGGGAUAACAGGCUGAUACCGCCCAAGAGUUCAUAUCGACGGCGGUGUUUGGCACCUCGAUGUCGGCUCAUCACAUCCUGGGGCUGAAGUAGGUCCCAAGGGUAUGGCUGUUCGCCAUUUAAAGUGGUACGCGAGCUGGGUUUAGAACGUCGUGAGACAGUUCGGUCCCUAUCUGCCGUGGGCGCUGGAGAACUGAGGGGGGCUGCUCCUAGUACGAGAGGACCGGAGUGGACGCAUCACUGGUGUUCGGGUUGUCAUGCCAAUGGCACUGCCCGGUAGCUAAAUGCGGAAGAGAUAAGUGCUGAAAGC
rnacentral:rRNA from 1 species